rnacentral:lncRNA from 1 species
UAAAAGGAAAGUUGCCACUACAUCCAAUCAUGGAAGCAAGAUUGAAGCAUCGAAUAAGGAAUGAAAUUCUCAUUAAAGGAAGUCGUUGGCACACAAGGAAAAGAUCCACUUCCCAUCAGCAAAUCAGGAUCUCUCCCAUGAUUUUGGGAAAUCAUAUCCAGCUGGAUGCGUCAACAACAUAAACACAAAUCACAAAAGAUUAUUCAUAACGGCAAACUCAAAUGAAGGGCAAGAAUGGAAGGAGCGCCAUCUCAGUCAAUUAUAUCUCUAGCAAAAAGGAAAG